GACGAACGCUGGCGGCGUGCUUAACACAUGCAAGUCGUACGGUAAGGCCCUUUCGGGGGUACACGAGUGGCGAACGGGUGAGUAACACGUGAGUAACCUGCCCACAACUUUGGGAUAACGCUAGGAAACUGGUGCUAAUACUGGAUAUGUGCUCCUGCUGCAUGGUGGGGGUUGGAAAGCUCCGGCGGUUGUGGAUGGACUCGCGGCCUAUCAGCUUGUUGGUGGGGUAGUGGCCUACCAAGGCGGCGACGGGUAGCCGGCCUGAGAGGGUGACCGGCCACAUUGGGACUGAGAUACGGCCCAGACUCCGACGGGAGGCAGCAGUGGGGAAAUUUGCACAAUGGGCGCAAGCCUGAUGCAGCAACGCCGCGUGCGGGAUGACGGCCUUCGGGUUGUAAACCGCUUUCAGCAGGGACGAAGCUUUUUGUGACGGUACCUGCAGAAGAAGCACCGGCUAACUACGUG
rnacentral:rRNA from 1 species